GCCGGGGUAGCUCAGCUGGCCAGAGCGCCACACUCAUAAUGUGGAGGUCGUGGGAUCGUGACCCACCCCCGGCACCA
rnacentral:tRNA from 1 species